rnacentral:rRNA from 1 species
GAUGAACGCUGGCGGCGUGCCUAAUACAUGCAAGUCGAGCGAACGGACGAGAAGCUUGCUUCUCUGAUGUUAGCGGCGGACGGGUGAGUAACACGUGGAUAACCUACCUAUAAUACUGGGAUAACUUCGGGAAACCGUAGCUUAUACCGGAUAAUAUUUUGAACCGCAUGGUUCAAAAGUGAAAGACGGUCUUGCUGUCACUUAUAGAUGCAUCCGCGCUGCAUUAGCUAGUUGGUAAGGUAACGGCUUACCAAGGCAACGAUGCAUAGCCGACGUGAGAGAGUGAUCGGCCACACUGGAGCUGGGACGCGGUCCAGACUCCUACGGGAGGCAGCAGUAGGGAAUCUUCCGCAGUGGGCGAAAGCCUGACGGAGCAACGCCGCGUGAGUGAUGAAGGUCUUCGGAUCGUAAAACUCUGUUAUUAGGGAAGAACAUAUGUGUAAGUAACUGUGCACAGCUUGACGGUACCUAAUCAGAAAGCCACGGCUAACUACGUG